rnacentral:rRNA from 1 species
AUGGACCUCAUAAGCAGGAGCAUGAUCCUUCCAUCUUGGCGAUCAAGUCAUGGUAGAAAAGAAAUUGACUCCUGCCAACUCUAUGAUAUCAUCCGUGAAGUAGUCAUUUCCAAGUCCAUGGAGGAAAAUCUUGUUUUCAGAUUGGAGGAAGGUUGCGGCUUAAACAGCCCUGUGACAACACGUCACCUCUCUGUAAGCAACGACUGGAACGGAGAUGAAAGUGAAUUCGAGAGUACAGUUGACCUGUCUCGUGUCAGAUCCCUAACGAUUUUUGGGAACUGGAGGCCAUUCUUCAUUUCUGACAAGAUGAGGUUGCUGAGGGUGCUGGACCUGGAAAACACUUCAGGUCUGGUUGAUCAUCAUCUCAAGCACAUUGGGAAGCUUUUCCACUUGAGAUACCUUUCCCUGAGAGGAUGUCAUGGAAUUUAUCAUCUGCCAGGUUCUUUGGGUAAUCUGAGGCAGCUACAGACACUAGAUGUCAGAGGUACAAACAUAAUCAAGCUGCCAAAGACCAUCUUCAAGCUCAGGAAGCUACAACACGUUUGUGCCAGGGGCGUUGGGAGCAACGAUGAAUGUAUUUAUCAAGAGUAUCCAUAUGGGGUCCGGAAGCUGAUGAGGAAUAAGCUAUGCAUCCUAACUUCCUCCUUGGCGGGGUUCUGCGUGGCAUGCUACGCUCCACAGCUUCUGAAGGAGACCAUGGGCAUCGACGGGGACACCAACAGGCGUGACGUCUGCACCACGUGCUGCUGCUCGUAUCUGCCAAGGCUGGCGACACGCCGGAGCCCACAUGGUGUUGUGGUGCCGAGAGGGAUCCACAGGCUCAGAGCCCUGCACACGUUGGGUGUGGUGAACAUCUCAAGGAGAAAGGCCACUUUGCGAGAGGUAGCGAGGCUCACCGGGCUUCGCAAGCUGGGAGUGACUGGUGUUGACGAGGGCAAUAGUGGAGAGCUAUGUUUGGCCCUUUCUAAACUCAGCUCCCUGGAAACAUUGCUGGUGCAGUCGGAGGGGAAGUCCGGUUUAUUUGAGUGCUUAGAUGGUCUGGCAUCACCUCCGAAAAAUCUUGAGAACCUGAAGCUGUACGGCAACCUGGUCGAAUUGCCGGCAUGGAGCGGCAGGCUGGAAAAUCUGGCCAAGCUCAAGCUGCGGAGUUCCAGGAUAGAGAAACAUGAUGCCGCCAUACAGAUCCUUGGGAGUCUACCGAACCUAGCCAUCCUGUGUCUAGGGAAAGAGUCGUUCAAGGGCGAACAGGUCCAUCUUCAUUUCCAGCAGGGCGCAUUCCAGACCCUAAUGGUGCUGGAGCUGAGUUCCCCAGGUAAGCUCAAAUCUGUGUGUUUUGACAAGGGAGCAGCCCGUAAGCUUGAGCUGCUGCAGUAUUACGAACAGCCCAAGGCAGAAGUCAUUUCGGAAGAAGAUGACGAUCAGUUUGAACAAGCCCCCAGUGUUUGGUUAUUUUCUGGGCUAGCAUCUCUAGGAAGCCUCAAGGAAGUUGUGCUCAAGGGUGACAACUACAAGGGCGACUUCGUGAGAAACUUGCGAUCCCAGCUUGAGUCGAACCCGAGACGGCCUGUUCUCAAGAUGGAGUGA